rnacentral:rRNA from 1 species
UGGGGAAUAUUGCACAAUGGGCGCAAGCCUGAUGCAGCCAUGCCGCGUGUAUGAAGAAGGCCUUCGGGUUGUAAAGUACUUUCAGCGGGGAGGAAGGGAGUAAAGCUAAUACCUUUGCUCAUUGACGUUACCCGCAGAAGAAGCACCGGCUAACUCCGUGCCAGCAGCCGCGGUAAUACGGAGGGUGCAAGCGUUAAUCGGAAUUACUGGGCGUAAAGCGCACGCAGGCGGUUUGUUAAGUCAGAUGUGAAAUCCCCGGGCUCAACCUGGGAACUGCAUCUGAUACUGGCAAGCUUGAGUCUCGUAGAGGGGGGUAGAAUUCCAGGUGUAGCGGUGAAAUGCGUAGAGAUCUGGAGGAAUACCGGUGGCGAAGGCGGCCCCCUGGACGAAGACUGACGCUCAGGUGCGAAAGCGUGGGGAGCAAACAGG